rnacentral:rRNA from 1 species
GACGAACGCUGGCGGCGUGCUUAACACAUGCAAGUCGAACGGAAAGGUCCUGCUUUUGUGGGGUGCUCGAGUGGCGAACGGGUGAGUAACACGUGAGUAACCUGCCCUUGACUUUGGGAUAACUUCAGGAAACUGGGGCUAAUACCGGAUAGGAGCUCCUGCUGCAUGGUGGGGGUUGGAAAGUUUCGGCGGUUGGGGAUGGACUCGCGGCUUAUCAGCUUGUUGGUGGGGUAGUGGCUUACCAAGGCUUUGACGGGUAGCCGGCCUGAGAGGGUGACCGGCCACAUUGGGAAUGAGAUACGGCCCAGACUCCUACGGGAGGCAGCAGUGGGGAAUAUUGCACAAUGGGCGGAAGCCUGAUGCAGCCACGCCGCGUGCGGGAUGACGGCCUUCGGGUUGUAAACCGCUUUCGCCUGUGACGAAGCGUGAGUGACGGUAAUGGGUAAAGAAGCACCGGCUAACUACGUG